AGGGUGGGGUGCUUGUGAUGGAGUUAAUGCUAUUGUAAGAAGAGAGACCAGAGCUCCCUCAAAGAGGCCAUGUGAGCACCCGCUUUAGUGUUAUGGUCUCCUGAACAGACAAAGACACCAAGACAUGGAAGGAAGUCUCAAUCCUCCAAUUAAGUUCCUUACCAAGUCCUGAAGCUGACUUGUGCUGCCUCCUCACUCCUCUAAUUUUCAACAGACUUUCUUCCCAGAUCAUGAGUUCUUUCCACCCAGGCUUUUGAAGGCAUGCUGAGCUGAGACAAUGAAGACAGGGACGGAGCUGUAUAAACCACAACAACCACCCACACUGCUGUUUCUGAACAUCCAUCAACUUUCCCAUGGCCACUGGCAGGCUCGCCACUGGCUGCUACCGUCCCCAAUUCCAUGUGGCCCAGAAAGCAAUGCUGGGAGCGCUGUGCAGGGGCUGCGACGAUAUUCCUGACAUAUGUUCCCACGGCCAGGACAAUGGUGAAGCCCCUUCCAGCCCCUCCUCCCUGUGAAGGUUUGGCAAAUGCUCUGUGUGAGGCCUGGCUGAGACACAGACACAGUGCUCUGCCCUCAACCCCAGGAUACUCAAGGCAUUUGCGUAUGGCGACUCCCCCUACCAGGAUCUUUA